rnacentral:rRNA from 1 species
UACGUAGGGGGCAAGCGUUGUCCGGAUUUAUUGGGCGUAAAGAGCGUGUAGGCGGCCAGGUAGGUCCGUUGUGAAAACUGGAGGCUUAACCUCCAGCUGUCGAUGGAAACCAUCUGGCUAGAGUCCGGAAGAGGAGAGUGGAAUUCCUGGUGUAGCGGUGAAAUGCGUAGAUAUCGUAAGGAAGACCAGUGGCGAAGGCGGGUCUCUGGACAGUUCCUGACGCUGAGGCACGAAGGCCAGGGGAGCAAACGGG